UAUAAUAUGAAUGAUCUGUGACCUCGAAAUAAUCUGUGACCUACAAAAUUUUUGAUUUGUGACGUUGAAAUAAUCUAUGACCUAUAAUUAUGAAUCUGAGACCAUUAAUCGUUUAAUUGUGAUUUUGUUAUCUUUAUUUAAUAAAUAUUUUUAAUUAAUUAAAAAUAACCUGAAUUUUGAAUUUUCCAUACUAUUUACUUGAUUUUUGAAAUGAUGUAAAGAAUACACCUUAAAUACGAUUUUUUCCCUUUUUCUAAAACAAGAGGUCCAACACUCCAAAAGAAAUGGCCCAUAAUUAAGAAAAGGCCCAAUCCACUCUCCUUCAUCUUCCAAACUCAACACUUUUCAACUGCCGUCAAGUUUCUUAUCAAUAGCUGCUGCCUGCUGCUGUAAAUUCUUCCUUCUUGGUCCUAUCACUAGUGCAGGCACAAUGAAAUUUUCUGUGUCGAUAACGUGUCAUAUGACGUCACUAAUGCUUAAAAUAAGAUGAGCACUAAUGUUCAUUAGAUCAUUCCACACACGAGAGAGAGAGAGAGAGUACUCUAAUGAAACAAUCAUGGAAGAACAUUCUGAGAGUUCUUGCUGGAAGCCUGGAACUUUAGGGUUAAAAGUUGAGGCAUUUCGAACAGUAUGGGAGACAAUAUUUUCAGUUUGUGGGAAUGUGUUUAUCGUAAUAACGUGGAUCAAGAAUUGCUUUAGACAGAGGAAUUGUGAAAAAUAAUAAGCAGAACUAUUGAAGAACUGAUCAUUUGGAAAACCAUUUUAAUUGGAGAAAUAGAGAAAAGACUCGAUUAAAC
rnacentral:lncRNA from 1 species